rnacentral:rRNA from 1 species
AUUGAACGCUGGCGGCAUGCCUUACACAUGCAAGUCGAGCGGCAGCGCGGGGGCAACCCUGGCGGCGAGCGGCGAACGGGUGAGUAAUACAUCGGAACGUGUCCAGUAGCGGGGGAUAUCCUGUCGAAAGAUAGGCUAAUACCGCAUACGACCUACGGGUGAAAGCGGGGGACCGCAAGGCCUCGCACUAUUGGAGCGGCCGAUGUCGGAUUAGCUAGUUGGCGGGGAACGGCCCACCAAGGCGACGAUCCGUAGCUGGUCUGAGAGGACGACCAGCCACACUGGAACUGAGACACGGUCCAGACUCCUACGGGAGGCAGCAGUGGGGAAUUUUGGACAAUGGGCGCAAGCCUGAUCCAGCCAUGCCGCGUGAGUGAAGAAGG